rnacentral:tRNA from 1 species
GCCUGGAUGGCUCAGCGGUUGAGCGUCUGCCUUUGGCUUAGGGAAUGAUCCUGGAGUCUUGGGAUCAAGUCCCAUGCCAGGCU